rnacentral:rRNA from 1 species
AUUGAACGCUGGCGGCAGGCCUAACACAUGCAAGUCGAACGAGUGGCGGACGGGUGAGUAAUGUAUGGGAAACUGCCCGAUGGAGGGGGAUAACUACUGGAAAAGGUAGCUAAUACCGCAUACCAUCGGAUGUGCCCAGAUGGGAUUAGCUAGUAGGUGGGGUAACGGCUAACCUAGGCGACGAUCCCUAGCUGGUCUGAGAGGAUGACCAGCCACACUGGAACUGAGACACGGGCCAGACUCCGACGGGAGGCAGCAGUGGGGAAUAUUGCACAAUGGGCUCAAGCCUGAUGCAGCCAUGCCGCGUGUAUGAAGAAGGCCUUCGGGUUGUAAAGUACUUUCAGCGGGGAGGCGUUACUCGCAGAAGAAGCACCGGCUAACUCCGUGCCAGCAGCCGCGGUAAUAC